CUGCUGACACGGUCUCCGCGCACAGAAAAUCUGCGCUGCGCACAAAAAAAAAAUCCAACCUAAAUUGUAAAUAAAAUAAACACGUAACAAUUCAUUCUGUGCUAUUUUUCAAUGUGAGUUAGUGAGUGACCGGUGACUGGCUGCUGCAGCCAAUGAUGCGAUUCACAUACGUAUUUACCAUAGACUGUAUAUAAUGGUAUUUACGCAGCUAAUCAACGUCACGCGUCCUUAUGUGCAGCCACAGUUGUUCUCAUAGAUAUGAAUGAGUAGAUAGGACACGCCCCUUUGAGCUGCGUGCUACAGCGAGGCUAAGCUAGUGGGGGAAAAGUUUCAGUGCAUUCCAUUGAUGUAGACGGCGUGAAAACGGAAACAACAAGUAUGCCGGCUCACUGUGCUGCAUACAGUUACACACUACGUCGUACGACUGAGACAAGGAAACUUGGAAUGACUUUUCAUAGGUUUCCCAGAGACUAUGGGUUGAGGAGGAAUUGGAAGUUUGUCGGCUUAGACCUGGUGUCAUUCCAUCAGUGUUAAACUUCCCGGCUCAUCUUGGAAGAGUACGUGCCAGAAAGACCACGACCAAGCAGCCUUGAGAUCUUAGACAGCGUCUCCCUCAGGUCCCUCUCUAUCUCCCCACACAUCCACCAACCACUGGAACACAUCUCCAAAGUUCUGCCAGGCCAGCUCAGCUUCCCCUCAGAAGAAGUGCCGCCACCUGCCAGAUGAAGGAGCCUUUUGAGAGGCAGCUGGCAUCGUGAUUGGACUGUACUUUGGUCUGUUCCAAUCCAGCUUCAGCUCCAGAGACGGCAGGCGGGACGAGUCAACGGAGGCCGGGUGGACGAAGACAUGCAGCUGAGUACAAUCCAGAAAACAACAGAAGAGGAGUGCAGGGCCAGAACAACCAGAGUAGCACAUUAUGUCUCUUAGAAAGAAUCAUAGUAUAGCCUUUGGUAUGAAAAAACGCCAUCAUAUACAUCGUAUCUUGUACAAAUAACAAGUCAAAGGAAAGAGACAUACAUUGUAGAAUUGUAGUAAUUGUGGGCUGACUGAUUUACUGAUUAUCAGUAUUUUAUUUUUUACUGAUUUACGGUAAUAAAUAAAUUUAAAAAUGGUGGUACUUUGGCUCUGAACCUUUAUCUACCUGUGGUCGCUCUGUCUUCUGGAGUGAUUUGAUUGGUUAUACGUAACGAAUACAACUCCUUUAACUUAACAUCUGUAAACAAAACAAAAACGUAUCAACAAAGUUUUCUGUUAGAGUUUGUGUUCUUCUAAGUUUAACUCAAGAUUUUAAAUACUUUCAUUUACUGCAAAUGAAUAUCUACUCCAAAUGUGUCAAUAAUAAUCAUUAUCAGCCUUAAAAACCCACAAAACACCCCUCUAUACUCCACCACACUUAGUACAGUCCGGUUCCCCCUUCUAUAAAUCUGCUUGGAAUCUUCCACUUCCUGUUUGUCAAAGUGGCCUUCUACCUGGACAGGUUUUGUUGGAGCUCAUGCAACAAACAUUUUGGGUAACUGCACUUUAAUAUGGAUGGAUGACACUGAAUUAGAGUCUGUUUUAAUGAGACUGAGUUAAGAUGUGUAGCUCUGUCAUUAAAUAGGAAAUUAUUUCUCAGAAUUCACAGAGAAAAGUCUGAAAUGUUUGCUAGGUUAGCGUCCCACAUGUUCUUUGGCUCAGCUAAAGCUAACUCUCUCCAACUUCUGGAUCUCUUGAGUUGCUUGUUGUUAAAAUAUCUUGCUGUAGGUGCUGAAGCUCAGAAAGUCUGAGAUGUUUGUUCAGAAUAAGCUCAUUCUCAAGUCUUAUCUGAACUGUCCUCUUUUGUUUGAACUUUCCCUAAACUUAGGAGUUAAUGACAGAGCAGCACAUCCAGACUCAGUCUCAUUUAUGUAGAGAUUAAACUUCAGUGUCGUUCAUUGAUGUUAAAGUGCAGUUUUUCACGUUUGUUGCACAUGUUCCCGACCAAACCAGUCCAGGUGGAAGACGAUGUGAAGAGAAAGCUCCAGAGGAUGAAUAUCACAUAUUUACAUUGGAAAUAAAGGUCCUCUAAUUAGACAUUGUCAUGCAAAAGUUGGAUUUCCUUUUAAUGAUGUUCAAAUCUUUGUUGAGUAAUUUGUUGAUGUUGGUUUCUAAAUGUUUUUUGACACUUGGCCCCAAAGAUUAAAACAUUCUACGGCUCACAAGCUGCAACAAUUCACACAUUAUCAACUAUCUUUCUGACUAAACUAAGAUAAAAAGUGGAAAAACUGCCUGAUUCCUGCAUCAUGAAUGUAAAUCUGUUUGGUUUUUAUGACAGUAAACUGAAUAUAUUUGGGCUUGACAUUUUAUAAACCAAAACAAGAAAUGAAUUACUGGAGAAAACGACAGAUUAAUGGACAAAGAAAAUGUGUUUUCUAACAUAUAUGGCUGAAUUACUCCAACGUUACAAGAUACAUACAAUUUGAAUUCAGUUUUAUUUAUAUAAUGCCAAUUACAGGUCAAAUUGUCUCGAUGCUUUAUUUUUAUACUUUUUUGUCAUAUUUAAAAUAUGACAAAGUAAGAAAUUUAAACCUCUUGAUUAAUCCAAUUUAUUAUUUAGUUUUUAAGAGACUAAUUAACAAUUCAAACUUUCUCCACUAAAACUAGUAAACAUGAGGUCAAAUAGAAGGAACAGUUUUAAAUACUGCAGUCCCACAACGACAAUAAAGUUUCUCAACAAAAACUAAAUCUGCUGGUGGAUUCCAUUAAAGUCCUAAUAAAGGAUAAUAAAGUGUGAUACUAAAGGUUUGUGGUGCUAAAAAUGUCAAAGAUAUCAAGUUGAACAUCUGGAUGGAGGUUGAUAAAAGUUGACCUCCCUUCAUUUCUCUGGAGCCGACUCCAUGGAUUUUCUGGAUGGUGGUUAAAGACCUGCUCUUCUAGUGGUCUUCCUUCUAGUCGCUGUAAAAAAGAGUCCAUCCUGGCCGACUUCAACACCUCUUCAUGACAACUUGUUCUGCUUCCAACCUCGUGGAAACUCAAGAAACUCGGGAA